AUUGAACGCUGGCGGCAUGCCUUCCACAUGCAAGUCGAACGCCAGCCCGGGAGCAAUCCUGGCGGCGAGUGGCGAACGGGGGGGUAAUAUACCGGAACGUGCCCAUUAGGGGGGGAUAGCCCGCCGAAGGCCGGAUUAAUACCGCAUACGACCGGAGGGGGAAAGCGGGGGUUCGCAAGACCUCGCGCUAUUGGACCGGCCGAUAUCAGAUUGGCGAUUGGGUGGGGUAAAGGCCUACCACGGCAACGAUCUGUAGUUGGGCUGAGAGGACGCCCAGCCCAACUGGGACUGAGACACGGCCCAGACUCCUAGGGGAGGCGGCAGUGGGGAAUUUUGGACAAUGGGCGCAAGCCUGAUCCAGCAAUGCCGCGUGCAGGAAGAAGGCCUUCGGGUUGUAAACUGCUUUUGUCAGGGAAGAAAUCCUUUGGGCUAAUACCUCGGAGGGAUGACGGUACCUGAAGAAUAAGCACCGGCUAACUACGUGCCAGCCGCCGCCGUAA
rnacentral:rRNA from 1 species